UGGGAUGGAUCGAUAGAACGAGU
rnacentral:miRNA from 1 species